rnacentral:rRNA from 1 species
GUGCAUUUGUAUGGUUUGGAGAAGCUUACUUGUCUUAUAGUUUAGCUGCUUUAUCUGUCUUUGGUUUUAUCGCUUGUUGUUUUGUAUGGUUCAAUAAUACAGCUUAUCCGAGUGAGUUUUAUGGACCCACCGGGCAAGAAGCUUCUCAAGCUCAAGCAUUUACUUUCCUAG